AUUGAACGCUGGCGGAAUGCUUUACACAUGCAAGUCGAGCGGCAGCGCGGCCUUCGGGCUGGCGGCGAGCGGCGAACGGGUGAGUAAUGCAUCGGAACAUGCCCAGUCGUGGGGGAUAACACUUCGAAAGAAGUGCUAAUACCGCAUACGUCCUGAGGGGGAAAGCGGGGGAUCGCAAGACCUCGCGCGAUUGGAGUGGCCGAUGUCAGAUUAGCUAGUUGGUGGGGUAAAGGCCUACCAAGGCGACGAUCUGUAGCUGGUCUGAGAGGAUGAUCAGCCACACUGGGACUGAGACACGGCCCAGACUCCUACGGGAGGCCGCAGUGGGGAAUUUUGGACAAUGGGGGCAACCCUGAUCCAGCCAUUCCGCGUGAGUGAAGAAGGCCUUCGGGUUGUAAAGCUCUUUCGGCAGGAACGAAACGGUGGGCUCUAACAUAGUCCGCUAAUGACGGUACCUGAAGAAGAAGCACCGGCUAACUACGUG
rnacentral:rRNA from 1 species